AGUGAACGCUGGCGGUAGGCCUAACACAUGCAAGUCGAACGGCAGCACAGUAAGAGCUUGCUCUUACGGGUGGCGAGUGGCGGACGGGUGAGGAAUACAUCGGAAUCUACUUUUUCGUGGGGGAUAACGUAGGGAAACUUACGCUAAUACCGCAUACGACCUACGGGUGAAAGCAGGGGAUCUUCGGACCUUGCGCGAUUGAAUGAGCCGAUGUCGGAUUAGCUAGUUGGCGGGGUAAAGGCCCACCAAGGCGACGAUCCGUAGCUGGUCUGAGAGGAUGGAUCACCCACCUGGAACUGAGACACGGUUCAAACUCCUAAGGGAGGGAACAGGUGGGAAGAUUGGGCAAUGGGCGCAAGCCUGAUCCAGCCAUACCGCGUGGGUGAAGAAGGCCUUCGGGUUGUAAAGCCCUUUUGUUGGGAAAGAAAAGCAGCAGGUUAAUACCCCGCUGUUCUGACGGUACCCAAAGAAUAAGCACCGGCUAACUUCGUG
rnacentral:rRNA from 1 species